ACCACUGCUAAUCUAUACUGCUGUCAAUCUAUCUAUCACUGCUAAUCUAUCACUGCUGCCAAUCUAUCUACCACUGUCAAUCUAUCUAUCACUGUCAAUCUAUCUACCACUGCUAAUCUAUCACUGCUAAUCUAUCACUGUUAAUCUAUUGCUGCUAAUCUAUCUAUCACUGCUAAUCUAUCACUGCCAAUCUAUCUAUUACUGCCAAUCUAUCUACCACUGUCAAUCUAUCUACUGCUGUCAAUCUAUCUACCACUGCUAAUCUAUCUAUCACUGCUAAUCUAUCACUGCCAAUCUAUCUAUCACUAUCAAUCUAUCUACCACUGCCAAUCUAUCUACUGCUGUCAAUCUAUCUACCACUGCUAAUCUAUCACUGCUAAUCUAUCACUGCUAAUCUAUUGCUGCUAAUCUAUCACUGCUAAUCUAUUGCUGCUAAUCUAUCUAUCACUGCUAAUCUAUUGCUGUCAAUCUAUCUACCACUGCCAAUCUAUCUACCACUGCCAAUCUAUCUACCACUGCUAAUCUAUCACUGCUAAUCUAUCACUGCCAAUCUAUAUAGAGUAAAUCAUAGUCCCAUUUGGUCCCAUUUUGUAAAAUGGGAUCAAAUGGGACUGAGAUCACUAAUUUAUUAGUAAAACAUGAUCUGGGACUAGAUUUAUAAUAUAAACAGUGUAAAGUGACUAAUUUACUAAACACUAUAUG
rnacentral:sRNA from 2 species